rnacentral:rRNA from 1 species
CACGUAGGAGGCGAGCGUUGUCCGGAAUCAUUGGGCGUAAAGAGCGCGCAGGCGGCUUGGCAAGUCGGGUGUGAAAUCCCGGGGCUCAACCCCGGGACUGCAUUCGAUACUGUCAGACUAGAGGCAGGUAGGGGAGCAUGGAAUUCCCGGUGUAGCGGUGAAAUGCGCAGAUAUCGGGAGGAACACCGGUGGCGAAGGCGGUGCUCUGGGCCUGUACUGACGCUGAGGAGCGAAAGCGUGGGGAGCGAACAGG